UAACACCCGCGCCACAAGUGGGAAUCAUGUUUAUUGGGCCUAAAGCGUUCGUAGCCGGUUUGGUAAGUUUUAAGUGAAAUUGUUGCGCUUAACAAAACGAUGUGCUUGAAAUACUGCCAGACUUGAGACCGGGAGGAGUUAGGAGUAUUCUGGAGGGAGCGGUAAAAUGUUAUAAUCUCCAGAGGACUACCUGUGGCGAAGGCGCCUAACUAGAACGGGUCUGACGGUGAGGAACGAAAGCCAGGGGAGCAAAUCGGAUUAGAUACCCGAGUAGUCCUGGCCGUAAACGCUGCGAGCUAGAUGUUGCAUAUCCUACAUGGAUGUGCAGUAUCGAAAGGAAGCUGUUUAGCUCGCCGCCUGGGAAGUACGGUCGCAAGGCUG
rnacentral:rRNA from 1 species